UACGAAGGGGGCUAGCGUUGCUCGGAAUUACUGGGCGUAAAGCGCACGUAGGCGGCUUUGUAAGUCAGAGGUGAAAGCCUGGAGCUCAACUCCAGAACUGCCUUUGAGACUGCAUCGCUUGAAUCCAGGAGAGGUGAGUGGAAUUCCGAGUGUAGAGGUGAAAUUCGUAGAUAUUCGGAAGAACACCAGUGGCGAAGGCGGCUCACUGGACUGGUAUUGACGCUGAGGUGCGAAAGCGUGGGGAGCAAACAGG
rnacentral:rRNA from 1 species